AAGGGCUGUAACCAUUAAGCAACCAUACAACGUAGCGGACGGCCCGAAGCCUAAGACGUUCCAAAACCUGAUCGCGUCCUUUUCUGUCUACUUUAUUACUUAUUAAACCGUUAAAAAUGCGCGAUGACGAUUUUGAUGCUGACGACGUUGGCGAAGACUUCGAAGAAGUCGACGACGAGGCGGAUCUCGAAGACAUCGACCAGCAGGAGGACGAAGGGGAAAACAUCGAACUUCUCAACGUGGGCGACGCCCGAGGAGGAGGAGUCCAAAAGGCGAACAGGAUAACGACGAAAUACAUGACCAAGUACGAGAGAGCAAGAGUACUUGGCACUAGAGCUCUUCAGAUAGCAAUGUGUGCACCGAUUAUGGUGGAACUCGGAGGUGACACAGACCCUUUGGAGAUCGCCAAGAAGGAGCUGAAGCAAAGGAAAAUUCCAAUCAUCAUCCGCAGGUAUUUGCCAGACAACAGCUAUGAGGACUGGGGCAUUGACGAACUGAUUGUUACUGACAGAUAAACAUCCAAAUUUACAACUGAAUCUUCUUUUAACAAUUAUUUUAUACUUCUAGAUUCCUACCUGAAAAAGAAAAAACAAAUCCUUGGGAAAAAUUUGUUUAUAGGCUUUAAAGAAACAUAUUUUUAACAACAAUA